CACUACUCUGCUGCGCUCUCCCCGUCCCAUUCCCCUCCAUUUGGCCACUUCUUCGCCCCUUUCCCUUCGUCUCUCGACUUUUUUCUUUCGCGCUGCUUUUCUCAUUCAACCUUGCUAACUUCCUCGCUUUGCUUUGUUAAUCAUUGUGUCGGUCACCUAUCAUUAGUUCUCGAACAAGCUGGAGAGUUCUGGUUGCGUCAUUUCCAAGGUAGUUAGUUCUCUCGAGGUUUCUUUCGUGGAGUCGCCAUGGUGACGGGCGUGAGAACAACUGACAGCGAUUCAUUCAAUUUGUAAUUGCGAUGGAGAAGCUCUUGGAUGAGUAUUGGAUUGGUGGAACCCUGUCGUGGGUUUAAUGUCGCAGGGACAGUGUGUUAGGUGAUGGUGGUUAUUUCGGGGUUUUACAUUCGGAGACUUUGAUGCUCUGAAUUGGAGUAGCAGGUGGGCUGAUAAAAGUGGCGAGUCUCGCUUGUAACUUUAACAAGGGCGUCGUUUCACCUGAUAGCAUGCCGUCUAUGUACGGAAUACCAUGACUCUGCAGGAGAUGAAGACGAGGUCUUAUUUAAAGUGAGGUUGGGCCACCAUGGGUUUGCUCAGUAGACUUGAGCAUGAGGUGGUCAAGAGACUGAAACCAUUUCUUGCACACGGGCAAGAUGCGAGUCUCAAGAUUACUCCUUCCACCAGCCAACUGCGCGUGCGACUUCGCGAUGUCAGUCUUGAUGUUGCUGCUCUUAAUGAAGCAGCAAUGUCGACGACUUCCUUGCUUGUUCACGAGGUCGUUAUAGAAGAGGCGGAUCUCAAGUUGUCUCUUCUGAGUUUUCCUAUGUGGACAGUCAUUGUCCGUGGUAUACAUAUUGUGGUCAAACCCAGGCUUGCAAGCGAACCUCGUGCAGAUUCAGGCACUGUAGAUCAGAAAACUGAACUGGCUCGAGAGGGUUACAAAAAAACUGAAGCCGACGCGAAGCAGGGUAAAGAAUCUACCGUGACUAGUUUUUUUAUAAACUCAUUGGCGAAUUUUUUUCUGUCCUCCCUCAGAGUUGAACUGCACAACUGCUCUGUUAAAUUUGUUUCUCAAACCCUGAAACCUUCAAGUUAUGUUUGCUCGGCAUCCUUGGAGUCAUUCACUGUGCAAGAAGGUUCUGCCGAUGAUGCCAAACCCGCAGAGGGGUUGUUUCAAGCUUUCAAGGAAGCUGUGCGUAAUCGGUUUGAGCGAAGGGUUGGUUCAGUGAAAAAAAUGUGCAUUUUCCGAGGCCUGGCGCUGAAUCUUGAAAUCGUCACAAACAGCAGAUUUGCCCUCUCAGGAAGCUAUGAAAGUUUUGGAAAGCGUCAUAGGAACUCUAGUAUCAGUAAAAGAAAUGAGUACGGGAGAAAUUCACUGAAUAGUUACGUCUGUGACAAGAGGGAUCAAAUACUGCUAUUUGAAGUUGUCUCUUUGGCUCUAAGAUUAAGAGGAAUAGAAUAUUUAGGUGUGGUUGUUGAGGUUCCUGAAGUCCUUGUUGGAUUGGACGCUAGAGAACUUGAUGUGCUUUUGAUACUUGCUGCCCAAGCAAAUGGUGCUGGGGUACGAGAAACCGACAAGGCUCUAGAGUUGACAUUGUUGAAAACCAGAAGAAGCCUAAUCCAAUCAACAAGAAAUGGGCCGUCAAACUACGAUUUUCGAUCACAUAUGUACACUAAAUCAAAUAUGUUGGAGGACAUUGAUGAGCCUAGUGAUGGAGUUAAAAGUGAUGCAGCUACAGAGAGAAUGCAUCAGGAAGGUAAUGGUAAGGAUUCUGAGUUGGGGAUUAUCCGCGUACCUGCCCAUCGUUUGUUCCCUGUACUAGCGUGGCAGCUGUGGGUGCACAGUUUAUCUGAAUUUAUCGGUUUUUGGAGCCAUUUACUGUUCGUCAUCUUUUUCUUUCUUCUAUCUUCACUAGCACUUGUGAAAGAAGCUUGGCAGUUAACUGUUGGUGCACAACGGCUGCCUAUGCGUGGCGAAUCUGAGUUACCAGGAUUGGAUCGGAACAAUUCAGAACGGAAAGAUGAGAAAGAAAAGAAAAUGGCGACUCUCUCUUCGGAGUACAAUUCUGAAAGUUCGCUUUUUCAAGUUGUUGAAAAUCGUGGACCUACUUUUGAAGUUUACUUCAGUAGGGGAUUGUUCACAUUAGUUUGUACAGCAGAUGAUGAUAUCAUGGAUAAAACAGAUCAGACUGCUGGAGAGUGGAGUGAAUCCGUAGAAAGUUUAGAUACAAGAGGAGUACUUAAGCCAGGUGUACAUAUGAUUCUGGAAAGGGUUUCCCUUGAGUAUGGUCUAGAUCACAUUGGAAGUGGGGGUAGAUUUGGAGUUGGACAUUGGCAAGUGGAUCUUAUCUCUGUAGUCGCUUCUCAGUCACUGCAUGAGGAUAUGGUUACAUUGCGGCACGGUAGAUGGAAAAAGAAGAGGUCAGAUACCUUGCACCUACUCACAAGUACGCCGUAUAAAGGUAGGAUCAAGGGGAACGACAGGUGCAACGGUUUUCAGGACAUUGGAGAUGUGCCUCAGACGGCUACAGCUCGUACGAGACAUUUCAAUUGGCAGGAAUGUGUCGCUAAAGCUUGGAGUCAGCAUGUAUGGAAGUGCCCAGAGAAUUUCGAAGUGGACGGAAGUGAUUUGGUUAGCCCCUCCUUCACCGGAGAUGUGUCUAGGGCAUUUCUGAUUGCAGAGUUUGGUACAGCUGAUGUUGGCAACGAACGUGAGAAAGGAUUAGGUGGAUUGAUGACUUGUGCGUUGAGCAUGGGUUGCUUAAAUGUCUACAGCGACAGCACUACAAGCUAUCGGAUCAGGCCACUUUUGGAUCAACUAUCCAAUGCGAAGACCUCGAGCCACAAUGUGGAGCCUGACAAGGUGGCUGUUGCCGAUUCAAAAGAAUCUGAGAUAUCUUAUGAAGAAAUAAUGCUGAAUUACAUCAAUCUUUGCAGACAUUAUGUUGAGCUUGCCGUUCCCAAGAGCCACGUUGAAAUUUAUAUGGUUGUUGAAAGUUCCAAGUUUACAUUUGCAGCAACAAUGGGCCAGUUUGAGGAUGAUCAGCAAGCAAAGGUAGCAGAUGCUGACGGGAUUGCACAUUCUAGUCGAGGUUCAUCUCUUGUCGUUGAGAUUGGGUCCUUACAGCUAAUGACAUGGCCUGCAAGUUCGAAGGAAGCUCUAUCGAAACUUGAGGCUAGAGUACCCGUGAAAGACGCUGCACCUUUAGGAUGGUGGGAUGAGUGUGUGGAUGAGAAAUUAUGGCUGAGAAGACCCCCUACACCAGAUUUUCCAGCAGAAACGCUAGGGUCAGAAGAAGAGCAAGUCGGCAACAACCUUUACUUCGCUUUUGAGGAUGCGGGUGUGAUGCUUCGGACGGAUCGCAACAGGAAAACGACUGUGCCGGUUCUGGGACCUAUUUCUUGUCGCAUGCAGUCAUCAUUUUGCAGAGAUAAUUUGUACUCACAGAAGGGGGUCAUUAAGUCUGCUGCCGUUUCACUCGAAGGAAGGUUGGCACCGUUUGCCCUUCACUUGUACCUAGAGGAGAUGACAAUAUUCCAAGAGAUUAUUGACUUCGGUAAUGCUCUUCUGGAAGGAUUUGGAUCACCUAGCGAAUUGGACGAGAAGCAACCUGGCAUUGACAAUACAUCCUCAGCGGAUUUUUUAAGAAAUACUGCAAGUGAACAACACCCAAUCAGACAAACAUCCGAUCCAGAAGUCAAUUCAGAAGCGCCCGCAAAGAUAUUAUUUGUUUUAUUUCUCAAUCUCCAGCUAGAAGCUAUUCAGAUUGUGUUAGGGGAUCGUAGGAUAAAUGGUGGCACUACCGGACAAAAUGCUACUUACGGUCGUGUGAGCUCUUCACAUGGGAGACAAACACGUAUUCAUGGUGAUGGCCGGGGUGGAGACAAAACUCGUUUUCCAGGCCAAGGGAGAUAUUGUUACUUCGCAACUCUUCCAAUUUCACUUGAUAUGUCUGUGGGUGACGGCUACGCAACCCAGGUUUCUUUCCAAUUAAAUGGAGCACACAUGGGUGUUGUUAAAAGCCAACUUCAAAAGGCUGAUCAACAGCAGUCGUUGUACAAGAGCCUUCUAGAUGGUACUGUACUUGAUGUCAUGACGUUGUUCCAGAUAUCCGAAACUGGAUUUGCCUUGGAUUGUUCAAAAAUUGUGAUCUCUGGACCAAAACUCCUUGGACAAGUGAAUAGACAAUCCAGUUUGUAUCGGACUCUCGCUGAUUCAAAAACCCAUUCGGGUACUUCAUUAGCACCCGCUAAUGCGAUGGCUGACUCUAGUGGAAAGGAUUCUGCCUCUCACCAGCAAGAAUAUGAACACGAAGUGCGCAGCAUGAACGGAUCAAUUCACAAUAACGAGGAUACAGAUAUUGAAUCGUCAGGGAAUAGUCGAGGUGAUGAGCUUCAUUGGAUAGUUGUGAGCGUGGACGUUGGAAGUGUUACUGUUACUGAUGAUUUGAGGGAAGCUCUCGGUGAUAAGAUCGUGCUACUCGUGACUGGAAGUAGUACACUCCACAUUAAGCUUAAGCUUGGCAAAGAUUCCAGAAAUUUCACUCUGGAUGUUGAGGGAGGAUUGGUUAUAAUUCAAACAAGUGCUUUGCACAGCCUUUUUGAAUAUGUUAAUGCUCACAUUGCAUUGCUGAGUGGACCAGCAAGUUCAUCUCGUUCCAAUAUUCGUGAAUUUCCUGAGGUAUCUGCCCUGCAGAAGUCUUAUAAUGUAGACGGUCCAAGUUCUAGUCUAAAGACUACUGGACGGUCAGUGUCGCUCCCACCUUGGGCCACGACAAAGAAACCUGCACAGAUGCGGCGACUGGUUUCGGCUCCUCGGCGAAUGCAAGUUGCAACCGAACUUAUGCCAGAAGUGGUGCCAAAGAAAGGUUUUGACGGCAACUUAAGUGCAGAUCUUGUUGGUUUAUCCCUUGUCCUUGUGCAGCGUGGAACGUCUAUUAUGGCUCCGGUCGAGGGAUUCAUCAUGGAGGUGGAUACUAAAGCUGAAGCUAAAUUCAAGCAUGGGAGUGUAUUACAAAUUUCAGCGGCUAUUUCGCGUGCCUCUAUCUUUGGUCUCCAAGGUCGUACAUUUGGUCGCAUUAGCAGCAGAAGCACCCGAACUCCGCAAUUUCGAUACAAUUUUAGUGGAGCGAGUACCGGUAAUGGUGGACUUGGUCAGAGUUCUCAUAGAUCUCAACCUAGCAGUUAUUCAUUGACACCAUCUUCAUCUGGUAUGUCGGAAGAUGGCAACGAUGAAUAUGACUUGAACGAGCAGCCUGUGGUGGAUAAUGGUGCUUGGAAACCUUUUGAUGAAUCUCAUUCGUAUAUUCUGGAGCGAUUGUCGAUUACGGCUUUUAUGGAGAAGGUUCCAGCUGAUAACCAUCCGGAUUUUUGGAAAUGGAGGAAUUCGUGGAAAGGAAGUUGCUCUGUGGUAGGUCUUGAUUUUGCAAUAACCACAUCAGAAGUUCAGCUAUUGUUAAAUGUCACAGCACCGUUAUCUGGACUCUCAAGCUCUUCCAGCACUUCCAAUUUGUCAGAGCCAGAUUAUGAAUUUACGAAGAGUCAAGUUGGAGAACUUGAAGAAGAAGCAUCUAACACGGAGUCUUAUCUUCCAGAUGGUGCUGUUAUAGCUAUCAAGGAUAUGAAUGAGCACUAUUAUUUGGCUGUGGAGGAGAAAGACACAAAAACUGGCACUUUUCGACUUACGGGUGUCUUGCAUUACUCCCUUGUUGGGGACAAGGCCCUCUUUAAGGUGAAGUACCAGAAGAAUAAGAAUGAGAAGACCAAGUGGUUCUCCUUGUUGUCUCUUCAUGCCGCCGACAGCAAUGGCGAGCCUUAUCGGGUCCAUUUUCUCCCAGGCUCUGGGUUGGCGGAGGUUGCCACCACCCCCGACAAAUCUUUGGAGCUUUGGGAGUGCAUUGAAGUAACUGAUGAGAAAUCUGAAGGGAAUGAAGAGCUCGGAUUUCAGAUCAGACGUCGUGCUUUUCACUUGGUGAAUCGAAAAAGUAAAUGUGGCUUAUCACUCGUUGAAGGUUCACCAAUGUUGGUUAAGCGGCCAGGUAGUUCAUUCAAGUUGCGGAUACUUGCACGGGAAAAAGAGGAUCCUGAAGCUGUGAAGCUUGUGUCUUUAGAGCAUGGGGAUAAAGAUGAGGUAGACCAUGGUCAUGAGGUCGACAGUGAUAAACAACUCAACGACAUUGCUAUAGCUGCAACGGUGAUUCCUGAUGUGACAUGUAACGUAAAUGAUUUUACCUUCACGCUGUUGCACGAAGCCUCUGGAGGCAUGCACCUGCUUCCUCUGGUUAGACUUUGUAUGCAGGACAUAGGGGUGGUGUUGCAGAUGGGAUCUGGGAAGACAAGGGUACUGUUCGGGUGCAGCAUUUCUUUCGAUUAUUUCCAAGCUCAAAAUUGCUGCUGGGUAGCGGUAAUCAACCCUAUUGGAAUAGAAUUACUACAUCGCGCGCGGAAUGAGAUGGAGACUGCAGGUGUCGUAAGCAGAAAGACUCCUACUUCUUUAUUCUGUAGACUGCGAAAGGUUGACAUUAUCAUAAGCGAGUUGUCGCUGGAUACGUUGCUUUUUCUCAUUGGAGCUCUUGAUCUUGCUGGGCCUUACACCUUAAGACAUUCUCCAGUAUUAGCAAAUCGUUGCCAGAUAGAGAACCAGACAGGUUUAGAUCUGGUAUGCCGCUUUGAUCACGGGAACGGAAGGCGAGAGGAGGUAGUUGAGUCUUGGGAGGCAGAUGCAUUUCUCAUCAGGCACACUACUUCACGGCGGGACUUAUCAUCAGCUGAGGUGGCAUCAACAGUUAAUUUCUAUUUGCAAAAGCAGGGCGGUGGGCAGUCUUCGGUUGUUCAAGUGUCUUUGACUGAGCCUGGUGUAAAAGCAAUGAGAACUCGUUUGCAGUUUGGUGAAGACCGGAAGAAUCUUGCCCCGGGGCCCAUCUUGGUUGUUGAUGUCAUGCGCCAGAGUCAGGGUGGAGUAUCCGUGACAGUUUCUCCAAUGGUUCGGAUACGUAAUGCUACUGGGAAAUUUCUAGAACUUCAAUGCCGACGACCUAAACAGGAAGGAAGUGGAGCUAUUGUUCUACUUGAGGAUGGUGACACAAUUGAUGAUUGCAUGGGCUCUUUUGAUGCUCUAAAACUUGAAGGAGAACUAAGAAAAGCUUUGACCUCUUUCAACGUUGGAAAUUUCCUUCUUUCCAUUAGGCCUGCGAGUGGCUCAGCUCCGGCUGAAGAUGAAAAAGAAGAGGAAUCUCCCAGUGCUUAUGAAUGGUCAGAUGACGUGAAGGGAGCUAAGGCCGUACGAGUUUCAAAUUUGUUUGAGAAGUUUCAGUACAAUUUCAAAAAGAAGUUUGGUGAUCGAAAUUCCGAUGUUGCUUUUGGAACAGUAUUUUGCCCAGCAGUACGACCAGAAAAAGAUGGCCAGGGACUUUAUUUUCUGAUCAGAACAUCAAGGAGACAGGUUCCAGUGAAGAGGCUUGACAAAGAUUUAGUAGACGGCAAGCCGCCUAUUAUAGCAUUGCAGGAGCAGCAAGAACUUCUUCUACUCCCUACUAUUCGAAUUUUUAAUCUUUUCACAUCAAACGUCAGCGCCAAGCUAUUUGCUCUGGCUCCAGGUAUGGCUAGAGGUAAAGCCGGCAGUCAACUGCAGCCCCAAAAUGAAGUCAUUGUCACAGCAGGAAAGAUGGCGCUAAUGUAUGCAGACCUUGGAGUUUUGUCAAUGGUCAUUAAGCACCAGAAAUCAGGUUUGACAAGCAAGCAGAUACCAAUAUUUGGCCGAGAAAUGAAAUCACCUGAUGCCUCAAUUGAAGGAGGUUCGUUGCGUGAAAUGGAGCUGGAUGUGGAUUUUGGUGAUGGUGCUCAUUAUGGAAAGAUGAUUGUUCGUCAAGGUGAUGAUGGUGUCCUUGAGGUGGUACUCUACACCAAGUAUGCAUUUCACAAUGACAGCCACGUUCCGCUUCUUUACUGUGCUCCAAAGCAGAAAAGCUCUUAUCUUUGGAGAAGGGGUCGAAAAUCUGACGAUGAUAAUUUGGAAUGGCCUUCGGAUGAAACAGCAUCUACCCUUCAACCUGGUUCAAGAGUUUCUUGGUUCAAUAAGUCAAGUAAAGUGAUGUUUAAACAAGUCCUACCAGAAGCUCAACCUGCUAUACUGGAUCUUUACAAUUUGGCGGGAUCAACAGAGAUUAGUCUCAAAGUUUCAAGUCAGGAACACGCCGAUCAACGUGUCCAGUUGGGAGUAGAGCUGCAGCUUCCCGCUGUUGGUGAUAAUAAUCCGACAAGUACCGUUCACCUUGCUCCUCGCUACGUUGUCGUAAACAAAUCAAAGGAUGUCAUCUGCGUCUGUCAAGAUGGAUUUCAGAACGAUACUUCCGCUGUCAUGGUGCUUAAUCCUGGCGAAAAAACAGCUUUACAUUACCGAGUUUCAUCAAAUGAAAGUGAUGGAAAGUCUAAAGACGAUGAUGGUCAGAACCCCUUCCAAGCCCCACUUUCAGUGCGUUUUAGACUUCGAGACUCUGAAUGGGACUGGUCUGGAUCUGUUUGUGCUGCUGCCCUGGGUUCCUUCUGGAUCAAAAUUCGACGAAAAGGACAGUCGGGUUUCUCGAAGCAAGCGAAAGGCAGAAUGUUGUUCGCACUUGCAGAGGUGCAGGAAGACAGCCCAACUCUUAUAAUGAGCUUCCGGAAGCAUUCAGCCGAUUCUAUCCCGUAUCGUAUUGAGAAUGCGUUGCGUUCGGGCGCUUUAUCUUACAGUCAAAAGGGUUUAACACAGAAAGAGGUGCUCGAGCCAGGAGCCUCAGUCAGUUAUGUUUGGGACGACUUGGCAUUACCGCACAAGCUUGUCGUAACGAUACAAGGAACUCAACUCUGUCAUGUCAUCAAUAUGGACAAAAUUAGGGAGUGGAAGCGCUUCGGUGCUGCAAGGCGCAGUAAGGUCUUUGAAUUUCAAUUGCCAUUCCUAGAUGAUUCAAAGGACUCUGAGUAUGAAGGCGACAGCAGUACAGGUGCUGGAUUUUUAAAUGUCGGUUAUGAAGUUGCUGCUGAUGGACCUACUCGAGUUUUACGAGUCUGCCUAGACAGUGAUGCAAAUAAGCAGUCUGGGUGGCAGACAAAUAUGCGAAGACCGAAGACGGAGGUGGAAGUGAAGGUUCCACUGUUCUAUUUCACUAUUGUUGAACCGCUUAAACAGAGGAACGAUGCGUCUGCGGACGAGACAGAAGCGGGAGACCAAACGACUGAAAAGCGUGUCUUAUAUGCACCAAUUAUUGCUGCCCGCAUCACAAAUCUCUUCGUCGAGGGAGUAGUAGUUGAAGAGUGCACUUUGUGCCAGCUGAAAGUUGAGCGCUUGGAUGUGGACGUGAAGUGGCAGGGAUCAGUGGUUAAGCACAUGCUGCGAGUUCAUGGACCAAAGGGUGACGACAGGGAGGGCCAAACGGUGUUGCAUAUGGCGUGUGUGGUUGCACACAGAGGAACCAAUCCAAUCCAACUUCACUAUUUAUCCAUUCUCUUGCAGGCUGUAGACCUCAACAUUGACGAAGACACUUUGAUGAAGUUAGCGCCGUUUUACCGGACUUCGCUUGCUCCGUCGACGGGACCCAGUCGUCUCAUUUAUUAUGAACGUUUCGAAAUACAUCCCAUUAAAAUUUUGGCAAGCUUCACACCAGGGAGUCCUCGAACAGACUAUACCUCUGCACAAGAAACAUUGCGAGGCCUACUUCACACAGUAAUCAAGGUACCCUCUGUCCGAGGUUUUAAGGUUGAACUAAAUGGAGUGCUUUUAUCCAAUGCGCUGCUUACAUACGCACAGCUUGCUGUGAAAUGUGCUCAACAUUAUUCCUGGUAUGCAAUGCGGGCUAUCUAUAUUGCAAGAGGAAGCUCACUAUUACCGCCAGCUUUUGCUUCAUUGUUUGAUGAUUCUGCUGCCUCAAGUUUAGACGUAUUCUUUGAUCCAUCCAACGGCUCAGUCGACGUGCAGGGUCUCACUCUAGGAAUGUUUAAUAUUCUUAGCAAAGGCUUGCGAAAGAAAGGACAAGGAGGAACAAGCCGCCUUUUGGGUGACGUUGAGCAUACGGUGAAAGCGGCCGGAUCAAACAUUCUUUUUGCGGUAGUUACUGAAAUUUCAGACAGUGUACUCAAGGGGGCUGAAACGAGUGGUUUGGAUGGUUUGUUAAGCGGAUUCAGACGGGGCAUCUUGAAUGUCGCUAUGCGGCCUGCAGUUCUUCGCAGUGCUGUUGCGCAGGGGGGUGCUACGAGGCGCAUAAAACUGGAUCACACUGUUGGUAUGGACGAGGUUUAUAUCGAGGGUUACUUGCAGGCUAUGCUGGAUACAAUGUUCAGGCAAGACUACUUGAAGGUGAAAGUACUAGAUGAAGAGGUACUGCUAAGGAAUCUGCCACCAAAUACUUCUCUCAUGGAAGAGAUACUUAGCGCUGUUAAGAAGUUUCUAAUAGCAGAAGGCCUUCUUGCUGGAGACUCUUCCCUUGCCACUGCACGACCAACCCGGCGCCUUCAAGGCGACAAUGAGAGACGUCUGGGCCCUGCAAUGAUUGCACUCUGCGAGCAGCUCUUAGUGGUCAUCGCCGUGCAGGGCUUGCGGAAGCAGGCAACCAAGUAUUUCCAUUUCCCGAGAGGGGAAGAGGAGAAAGCCACAACGGAGGAGAAAGCCAUAGUUCCUGUCCAGAAAGAGGAGCCUCAACCACAACAAGAGAACGUUGGGAUGUUGCCACGCGUGCGGCAUGCCGCUACCAACUUUGUAUUAUCUAGUGGGCUUGCCUAUUUGGAUGGUCGUUUGUGCCGCCACAUUCCUAAUACAUUGGUCAGACGCAUUGUCAGUGGCUUUCUCCUCAGCUUUGUUGAGUAGGCGCAUUUCAACAUCUGCAAGACGCAACGGCUACCCAACAACACCUUUAGGUUCGAAAGUACUCUAAUUUCCAACAACCCAUAUGAAUCCUUAGUACCAAGAUUCGCUGGUAUUCCUCCACUGUGGGUGCACAUUUAAAGCUUCCUUCGAGUCAACAUGUGAGGAGCAUUGAUUUGACCUCUCUGAGACGUAUGUCUUCUGUUAAAUAGAUUAAAUGUGCAGGUAUUCCAUGUCUUCGUGUAAGUUUGUUUAGCAAUUUAUUUCAUCCAUGUACACUAAUCCUGCGAGGUAGGUCGGUUGGAGUCGAAAGCUCAAUGGCCUGUUUCCACAGGAUCAAGAAUGUUUUCAGUGUUUUAAGGCGCCGGUAACCACUUCCGCCACCACUGUAUCAAAUGGUACAGAUUGUUGAGGAUGGCGAGUGGGGCGCUGGAAACACCAGCAAAUGGCUUGAACGCAACUGUUUGAGCAUUCCAUGGUGAUGUCAAGACUGGAUGUAUGCGAAUUCUUCUUCUACUUCAUUAUGAGUCAAUGCAAGUUGCAUGCAACACAAAAAGAAGAAAGAAAGACUAUUAGUAGCCAUGGUGAUGCACUUAAGUAGGAUGAUCAUUGGUCAUACCAUCUGAAUUAGAAAUAUGAGUACAAUUGCACUUACACAUGAGGAUAAUGGCUCAAUUGAAUACAGUGAUGGUGUGUGGCAGAUGUCAUUUGUAAUGUACUAGUUUUCAUUGCUUUGAAGGUAUGUUAAUGCUCAAAACAUUGUUGUUGUAAA